GGGCCCUUAGCUCAUUUGGUAGAGCGCUUCCAUGGCAUGGAAGAGGUGAGGGGUUCGAUCCCCCUAGGGUCCACCA
rnacentral:tRNA from 1 species